AAUCCUUCUGGCAAUGGCGCCUACUCCUUCCCAGGUCUGCCAGCUGCAACCACCAGGAGCAAUAAAUAAAUAAAUAACCCCUAGCACCGCGCACACACAGACACGCUCCCCACCAGCCUCCUCCUCUGCCUCCCCGGCGGCGGAGCGAAGGAGCGGGACCUGCCUCUGCCUUCCCCCCUCUCUGCUCAGGGAGGGACAGCACCUCGCCGCCCAGGGGGGGCACGAGCAGCCCUCAUCCAACACCUCCCUCCUUUCCCCCCUCCUCCUCCUCCAAAAGGGAGAAAUUAAAUAAAUAAAUAAAAGGAUGUUCUAGCAGAAAAUGCCGAAGAGGAAAAAGCCCCCCCUAGAGCCGGGGAGGCGGGGAGCGAUGCGGGGCGGGGGUGCUAGUGCCGCAUUCCCCGGGAGCCGGGACGGCGCUCGGGCUGGGGCAGGGCGGGAUGCGCAAGCCAAGGAGCGCGGAGCUAACAGAGUGUGCAGAGGGGAGCAGAGCCGCCCUCCCGGCAUCGGCGGGGCUCGGGCACCUUCUCCAGGUGGAGCUCGCAGCGCCGGGUGGGACACGGGGAGGUGCGGCGCACUCCGCGGACGCUGCCCUGUUCUUUAGCCUAGAGAAGAGGAGGCUGAGGGGAGACCUUAUCACUGGCCGCUACCCGAAAGGAAGCGGUAGAGAGAAAUUCUGGAGCCUGGCACCGCUCGUGGCUACUAGAAAAUGAGAGCUGCACCGGGACUCUUGAUUUCUCCCCAGGAUUGCCACAACUCUGCGAGGAGCCCGGGGCAGAUGAGCCCUUUCCAUGUCUGUUCUCCUAGCUAGUAGUUAUACUGUGUUCAGUUCUGGACCCCUCACCACAAGAAGGAUGUUGAGGUUCUGGCGCGUGUCCAGAGAAGAGCAACGAAGCUGGCUUUCACUUGGUAUGACAUCCAGAAGUGCUAACUGAAGACAUCAGUAAUGAAGAGCCCACCGCAUCUCUUGACAGAUAAUUGCAAUCGUUUGCUCAGAGGUCCAUCUCACAUUCAGUAAUAAUUUGUCUUAUUCCAGCUUCCAGCCACUGGUUCUCAUCAUGCCUCAUCAGCUUCGGCGGGCAUAGUAUCAGUGAUCUUCUCCUAUGUGUACGGGCUAAGACUAAUCUCUUCAUUUUGCUCUUGUAAAAUAAUUAGACCAAUUUUCCCUCACCUCAGGAAUCAUGCUGGGAGGCAUUUCCAAGGUAACAGUCCUUUUUACACUUUUUGUGUGAAUUGCCCCUUCUGACUCUGCAACUUGUCAGCACUGGGCCACCAGCAUCAACCUCAGCACCUCCCUGGGCACCACCCACUUCUGAGGGCUGGGCAGGUGGGAGACCUAAUCCUUAUAGGCAAGCUACCCAGUAUGCUGUCCUUGUGUGGCUGCCUCUACACUGUGUUCUGGAUCCAUUCUGCCUAAAAGCAUGAACCUACUUCUUUGCUCCUAUGCAUCUGACCUCACCUCGAGUUAGGAUAAAUCAAACUGUGCUUUAUUUGUGCAAGUGACCUGUCCAGCAUUUUUUUGUCACCUGCAAGCUUAUCAGUAACUUCAUUUUCUCCAGAAAACUGAUUAUCAUGACACCAAGAACAAAUCUUCCUAGGAGGCCAACAGAAAUAGUUGCCAUAUUGAUUUUGUUUAAUGUUAUUUUUAAUCAGAAUUUCAUAUGCUAAAUGAUACUUUAAAUCCUCGACCUAAUCUGCAAUAGAUCCCAAGUUUGUCAAAAUCUGUUUCACAGAAAAUCAUUCUUCACUGCUUGGAUCCUGUAUCAUUCUGUGAUUUUCUCCAGUACUUAGCUACCAAGACUAUAGCUACUUGGAUCACUAUGGUUAUCAUUUUACGAUAUUGGCACGGUAUUAAUGCACACACUCAUAUUCUCUCUCUCUGUGGAAUGCCAUCAGCUUUCUAAGCCUUUCUUUUUUUUUUUUUCAAAAGACAUUUCCCAGUUUUUGAGAAGUCAGUCUUUCUGAAAGAAAGCUUGGGUCCAAGUUAUGUGGUACAACAGAAUUAAUACCUUGAAUGUUAUUAGCAACUGCUUGACAUCCUUCUUUGUUACUGAUGCAGCAGCAAACAUCCUUUUGUUAUUUUAAGAACCAAAUGCACCUCCACGCUUCUUUCCAGACACAGGUCAGAAAGAGUCAUUGCACAGUUCUAUUUAGCGUAAAGCUCGAGACUUGCCCUCACACGGGAGGCAGAGCCCCGCUGCUGGUGGCACGCCCACAGUGACUGCGAAGUCAGAUGGUGGGGAGGUAGGUCAAAGAAAUAUGCCUGGGAAGUGCUAUGUCACGGAGACAAUGCUUACCACGGAGAACAAAAGCAGUUCCAAAAGCAGGUCCGGGAGAACCAAGAUUUACCCCUAUUUGUCCGGAAACCUAAAACAGAGCUUCAGAGGUAGUCUCUGAUGGUAGUUGGCAAGUGAUCCUUUCUAUGCAUCAUUCUGCGCAUCAUUCUGCCUGUCAUGUGAGCCUGGGGUGACACUUCAUCUGUAUGCACAUUUCUGUCUUGAAGGUGACCACCUUAGGUCAAACGAAUCUGUGAUCCUAUGCCUGAACCUCAGAAGUUUGGAGUAUUGCAGGACAUCAUUUAAACUAAGCAAAGCUGCACUUCAAAGUACGGAAUUUAAUAACGCGGUACUUCUGAUCGUAAUGUUUUUGUCACUACAUUCCCUGUCAGUAAAACAGUGGUCCUCUUCCUUCAUGGUCAUACUGUGAAGAUAGAGUAAUAAAUAUUUGGGAAGCACUAGGACACUGUAACAUUGAAGUUCCAUUAAGAAAAGCUAUGAAAAUAACCUUUAUUUUUCAGGCUUCAGAUUUACUGUGGGGAAUAAGGCCAUAUAUUGAACAAUGAGGAUUAGGUAAAGUAAGCCUCUCAAAAUCCUUCCUGUAUACUCAGUGAGGCAUGAAAAAGACAGUAUGCACAUCUUUUGUAAAAA